GCCCCUUCAAGGACAUCCGAUAAGAUUGGAACGGUACAGAGAAGAUUAGCAUGGUCCCUGCGCAAGGAUGACACGCACAAAUCGGAAAAGAAAAGGAGGCAU